AAUAUAGUAUGCAUUUUAGGUAUUUGAUCAGAUUCCUCAUUUAUCAAAUGCAGCAUACUUUUUCUAGGGCAUGUUUGGUUGCCCGUAAGUGAAACAACAAAAAUGGUAUUUUGACGAAUGGGAUUAUUUCGGUUGUUUGGAUUAUAAAAGUAAACAUGUAAGUGACUUUUGAAAAGUGAACCCGUGAAAUGGUUUAUAACUAAAAUCCACUUUUUUGACUUCGGCAAAAAAAAAUCAAAGUCGUUGAAAGUG
rnacentral:lncRNA from 1 species